GGCUCGGUAGCUCAGUUGGGAGAGCAUCAGGCGGAAGCUUGGAAGGUCCGCAGUUCGAUCCUGCGUCGCGCCA